GGAAGGGCUGAACCACAGUGGUAAAACAUCUGCCUUGUGUGUAGAAGGCCCCAGGUUCAUUCCCUGGCAUUUCCA